rnacentral:misc_RNA from 1 species
AACACUGUUAACCUGCGGUACCUGCGGAAGGAUCAUUACAGAGUGUAAAAACUCCCAAACCCCUGUGAACGUACCUGUCGUUGCUUCGGCGGAUCGCCCCGGGCGCUGUAAGGUGCCCCGGAGUCAGGCGCCCGCCGGAGGACCACAAACUCUUGUUUUAUACCUGAAUUCUCUGAGUGGCAUGUCUCAUGCAAAAACAAAAUGAAUCAAAACUUUUAGCAAUGGAUCUCAGAUCGGAAG